rnacentral:tRNA from 1 species
CAGAGAAUAGUUUAAUGUAGAAUCUUAGC